UACGAAAUUUUAUCGUAGCGAACGGGUGAGGAAUGCGCAACUUUUUAUGUUUUUGUAUUUGAUAAAUUUUUUGACAAUAUAAUGACUCAAACUUUGACGUAAUGACGAAGCCGAUAACUCGGUACCAGACGGCAAAGUUUAAAAUAAAAAAUCUACCUUUUAACUCAAAAUAAACUAUACCUGUAAAAUUUUUGAUUUUUAUAGAUCAAACGUACAGAGUAUGUUAUAGUAAUAUUGAAUAAUAGAUUUACGUCGAAAAGCUUUAUAUAUUGAAAUUUUGAUUACUUAUAAAGCGUUAAAAGAUGAGUUUGCGUAAGAUUAGGUUGUUGGUAGAAAUAAUAGUUUACCAAGCCUUUGAUCUUUAGUUGGUCUUAGAGGACGUACAACCACACUGGAACUGAGACAAGGUCCAGGCUAUUUUUGGCCAGCAGUGAGGAAUAUUGGACAAUGAACGGAAGUUUGAUCCAGCAAUAUUAUGUGAAUGAUUGACGGCUAAUCUUUGGUUGUAAAGUUCUUUCGUUAAAAAUGAUAAUGACGUUAAUUAAAGAAGUUUUAGUCCCGGCUAAUCUCGUGCCAGCAGCCGCGGUAAUACGGGAGGGGCAAGCGUUAUCCGUAAUUACUGGGCGUAUAGAGUUCGUAGAUUGUAAUAUAAGUUGUAUG
rnacentral:rRNA from 1 species